AAAGUACUCCCUCCAUCCCAAAAUUCUUGUCUUAGAUUUGUCUAGAUACGGAUGUUUCAAGUCACAUUUUAGUAUUAGAUACAUCCAUAUCUAGAAAAAUCUAAGACAAGAAAUUUGGGACAGAGGGAGUAGUUG
rnacentral:pre_miRNA from 1 species